AACGUAGGAGCCAAGCGUUAUCCGAAUUCACUGGGCGUAAAGCGCGUGCAGGCGGCUGGGUAAGUUGGAUGUGAAAUCUCCUGGCUCAACUGGGAGAGGCCGUUCAAUACUACCUGGCUUGAGGGCGACAGAGGGAGGUGGAAUUCCGGGUGUAGUGGUGAAAUGCGUAGAUAUCCGGAGGAACACCAGAGGCGAAGGCGACCUCCUGGGUCGUACCUGACGCUGAGAUGCGAAAGCUAGGGGAGCGAACGGG
rnacentral:rRNA from 1 species